GGGCGAAUCUCUUCUUUCUGGGCGGGCGGCCACCUGGGCAGCCCCAGUCCAGGGACGUGCAGCCGGGCCCCAGGCCACCGAGCUCGCCAGCUGGGAUCCCCGCAGGCAGCCCGGUCGGGUCACCUCAUUAGGGCUGGAGCAGAAAUAGAACCGCAGCGCCAAUUAGCAGCUGCUCGUGCACCGGGGCCAGCAAAUCCACGGCCGCCUCCCCGAGGACAGACGCUGCAGGGUCAUGGAAAAUUCCACACGCAGUCUUCCUCCCUGGAGGGCGGGGCCGCAAGGACGCCCGUCCCUGGGAACGCUCAGGCUUCACCCGUUGCCUGUCCACGGGCUGGGGUGGGGGAGAGCCUUUCGGGGCAGGGGAGGUGGGCCCCCAAAGACCCUGCUUCCAUCAGCCGGCGGCGGAGUGGGGGGAUUUUGACGUUCGUUCCGCACUCUCCGGCUACAAGAGAAACGGACAGCAAAGUUUGGCUCUCUCCGCCCCCACACCCACUGCGUCACUGUGGCUGCGGCUCCCGGGACUAAGUCCGACACGUCCCAGGCUCUGAGACCGUCCAGGACAGCAUCACGCUCUCCUCUGAGCCGGGCGGUCGCUGUUCCUAGGGCCGCCGCUGUAGGCGUGGCGGACGCCUGUGCAGCGCCGGGGGAGAGCAGGGGCUCUGUGACCUCCGGACCCAGGGUGUUGAAAGCUGUCGUCGCUGUUUUUCUGUCUUUUGACCUGCCGGCCCACCCUCCGCACAGCAGAGAAGACGGCCCCCAACCUUUCUGAGCUCUCACAGCUUCUGCCAUGAGAAAGAGGCCCGUGAUCUGCUCCCAUCUCAGAGCCAUCCUGGGGAAGGGAUACGUCAACCCAGGUCCAGUCAGAUGCCCACUGCUGCCCCGCAGGGCUAUGGUCAGGGAGCAGGGGCUUAAGAGGACAGGGCAAGCCAGAGAGACACUUGUGUGUGGGGACAAGGGGCCCCAGGAGCAGGGGGUGCUAGGCGGUGUCCGGGGGCCUUCUCCACUGCCAGAGGGCCAUUUCUAAGUCACAUAUCAGCUCAUGUCACUCUCUUUCCUAAAGUCCACUGGUAAUUCCUGCUCUUUAACAGCCAAGGCCCCCGUGAUCUUAGCCUUCUUACUUUGUUUACAUCAAUAAAUGUUCUCACCUUCUUUUAUGAAUGGAAAAA
rnacentral:lncRNA from 1 species